CGAAGAUAUAAAUAUCUUGUUUCCCCGCCAUUGAGAAUUGAUCAAAAUACCUAAACGUGGUGAGGAAGUAAUGUAGGAAGAGGGCAAUCUGAAGGCGAGCCAACUCUGCCCCUGGACAAAACCUAGCUCCUCCGCCAAAAGGAAAUUAGUAAAGCCUCUGAGAUGGAUAACCUGAUUUUCUGGUUCCAUCCAUCUCCAUGGAUUAAAACUACGUGGAUCCUCGUAGACAUUUUCAUCUAAAUGGACUGCUGAAAGAAAUGGCACCACAAAGCUUCCUUUUGGAAUGACAUAAUCUGCAGGAAGGGCAAUCGUGCUAAUCAAGUCUUGGUUGGUUUUGAUAAUGUACGAGACAUGUGGUGGGAAUACUUUGAUGUGAUUUUUUUUAUUGACUGAGCUUUCUAAUUAAACACUUUGGAGAAGUGGUAUGAUGAACUAAUUACCUUUAUAUUCUACUUGUUCUUUGGCUUCUCUCAUGAGCCAAAUGGCAAUGCCUCCUAGACGUAGAGUUUCAUCAAUUACCUGGAGAAAUAUUAAUGGUUGAGUGCCCAGAAUAUAUAUUGUAGCAAGAGGAGUGAGGUCAUAGUGAUAGAUGAUUAAAAGAGGACUUACACAUUGAGUGAAAGGCAUAGCUUUGUAAUCUUGCCAGGUAAGCAUCUCCUCCUCACCCCUUUCACUCCUUAGGCUCUGGUGCUCAUCCUGUGUAGAAAACUAGAUGUAAUUAAAUGGUGUUGGUGUUUGUACAUAAAUAUAGCUGCGAUGUAUCAAGUGCAGGUACCAGCAUUUGCUUCAUGGAUCUGGGACAUUGCGUGAGGAAGUAAACAGCAAAGAGCAUGGUUUUAGCUGUGGUCUCAUUUCCAGCAAAUAGAAGGUUAAUGAUAAAGUCAGCAACCGCAUCAUCAGCCUGGUGAAUGAGGAGAAAUGAAAAAAUGUCAAAAAGAAGAAAAAGAGUUGAAGAAGAAGGACAACAUAUAGUAUUUACCUUCAUUGCCUUGUGAUAAGCGAAGCCUGGUAAAUUGAUCGGAAGAGAGAGGCAGCCAUCAACAAAAUCUUGCGGCAAACAUCUUGAAGGGGGACAACCUGAUUGUGGUGUAGAUUGGUGAAGAUCUGUCCGAUAACUAUCUGAAUAUCCUGCAGGAAGUGAAACCUCAGCUUGUCAAGCCGCAUCAUGUUGGAGGCGAUGGAA